GCCUUAGUACGGCGAGUGAGCGGCAAAAGCUCAAAUUUGAAAUCUGGCACUUUCAGUGUCCGAGUUGUAAUUUGAAGAAGGUAACUUUGGAGUUGGCCCUUGUCUAUGUUCCUUGGAACAGGACGUCACAGAGGGUGAGAAUCCCGUGCGAUGAGGUGUCCAAUUCUAUGUAAAGUGCUUUCGAAGAGUCGAGUUGUUUGGGAAUGCAGCUCUAAGUGGGUGGUAAAUUCCAUCUAAAGCUAAAUAUUGGCGAGAGACCGAUAGCGAACAAGUACAGUGAUGGAAAGAUGAAAAGAACUUUGAAAAGAGAGUGAAAAAGUACGUGAAAUUGUUGAAAGGGAAGGGCUUGAGAUCAGACUCGGUAUUUUGCAAGCCUAUCCUUCGUGGAGAGGUUUAUUAGCAGCUUACCGGGCCAGCAUCGGUUUGGAUGGUAGGAUAAUGGCAUUGGAAUGUGGCUCCUCGGAGUGUUAUAGCCUUUGUUGAUACUGCCUAUCUAGACCGAGGACUGCGUCUUUGACUAGGAUGCUGGCGUAAUGAUCUUAAGCCGCCCGUCUU
rnacentral:rRNA from 1 species